AGUUGAUCUUGUUUCCUUGCUUCUCAAGGUACAGAGUUUGCUGGAAAAUUCCUCAUGUUUCAUGUCUCCUUUUUUUUAUCCCAUUUUUGAUUGACAGUGGAUGGAGGUGGUCAAUAUACCAGAGCGCCAUGAAGUGACAAAGAGCAUUUCCUGAAGAAACCUCAGCAGAGUGAUGGGUGAUCAUUUGGUUCGAUAACACCAAAGGCUGGAUGAAUUUACCCGGAGAGGACCGUAAUGAAAAUCUGAAAUAACCUUUAUAAUUUUCAAGUGAGGAAAUGAAGGCCAAACAUGAGAGGCUACAAUAAGAGUAUACUGGUUGUGGAUGUUUCCUGAUUUUAUGGCAUUAGUGUCUCCUGGCAUCUCAGUGGAGGACACCUCACUUUAGAUUUCAAUCCAAUGGAAUCUGGACUCUCUCUGAUCCCUCAGUGACUCGUCAGUUUGGGCUUCCAGGCCAUGCCCGCUGAAACAUGUUAAGAAACCAACUACUGUAUGCGAUGCGGUGGUUCUAAAGGCUUUCGACUGCUUUUUCACAAACCGCUGUCCUCAUUUAGCCACAGUCCAUGGAGAUGGAGAAGAGACAUGUCUAGUAAGAAGUUGCUAUGGCUGGUGUCAAAGAGGUUGCUGCCUGUGUUCUCCUCUAGGAUUUUGAUGGUUUCCUGUCUCACAUGCAUUGUGCCAAGAACAGGGGAUAUAAUGAUGAACAAGAAACAGAUACAAACAAAUAAGGGAUGAUCUGUGCUACUUUGAGGAAAAACUCAAAGCGACCAGAAAAGAAAGAAAAAUGAUGGAUCCAGGAGCAUGGUGGGUGUGUUGGGAGGUAGACAUACUUCAAAGAGGGACGUUACUAAGCAUACACAAAUGUUGUUGACCCAGCUUGGCCAACGCACCUAUCUGGAAGGUGAUGGUAUAGCCAUUCAGGCAAUGUUUAUGUAUUUAUGCACAAAAAAAAAAUGUUAUCUCUCUGCCUCACAUGUAUUUUAUAAACACAAGCAAUUCCUUCUGUGUAUCACUGCCAUGAUGCUGGAAACACUGCAUCGCCAGUAACCAGCAGAGAACCUGGGACAUAGCAGGCAUGUGAUCAUGUUGAAUAACAACACUCACGAACAAAUGAAAGGCACUUUUAGAACAAUAGGAUGUUGAAUUUAUGGUGUCAUAAAAUAAAUCAGUUCCACAUUU